CAGGAGUGGAAGCUGGACACACUAUGUGACUUGUAUGAAACCCUGACCAUCACCCAGGCAGUCAUCUUCAUCAACACCCGGAGGAAGGUGGACUGGCUCACCGAGAAGAUGCAUGCUCGAGAUUUCACUGUAUCCGCCAUGCAUGGAGAUAUGGACCAAAAGGAACGAGACGUGAUCAUGAGGGAGUUUCGUUCUGGCUCUAGCAGAGUUUUGAUUACCACUGACCUGCUGGUGAGUUGAGGGAACUGAUAGGAAAGGCAGAAGGGAGGAUCCAAGGUGAUUCCCUCUCCAAGGGGACAUCAGUGCCUCUCAGGAAAGUAGCAGCUUGGAAUAGAAUCUGGCAUGCCUAAGGCCUUUGGGGAACUGGGAUGCUUAUUUCCUCUGCCUUCCUUGGCUGCCCACAUGGAUGCCUAAGUGUCUUCCCUCCGGGAUAGAGUGUCCUCCGUGCACAUGCUGAAGAGUUGUCUUUCUUGACGUAGGCCAGAGGCAUUGAUGUGCAGCAGGUUUCUUUAGUCAUCAACUAUGACCUUCCCACCAACAGGGAAAACUAUAUCCACAGGUAAGCGUAGAUCUGGAACACUCCCCUACCCCUUCACACCUGGCCCUCCCUGGGCUUAAAGC
rnacentral:sRNA from 1 species